GAGGGUAUAGCUCAGCAGUAGAGUGUGUGCUUAGCACACAUGAAGUCGUGGGUUCAAUCCCCAGUAUCUCCA
rnacentral:tRNA from 1 species